rnacentral:rRNA from 1 species
UACGUAGGCAGCGAGCGUUGUUCGGAGUUACUGGGCGUAAAGGGUGUGUAGGCGGUUCUUUUAAGUUUGGUGUGAAAUCUCCCGGCUCAACCGGGAGGGUGCGCCGAAUACUGAGGGACUCGAGUGCGGGAGAGGAAAGUGGAAUUCCUGGUGUAGCGGUGAAAUGCGUAGAUAUCAGGAGGAACACCGGUGGUGUAGACGGCUUUCUGGACCGUAACUGACGCUGAGACACGAAAGCGUGGGUAGCAAACAG